UCGGGUUGUAAGCCCCUUUCGGCAGGGACGAAGCGAAAGUGACGGUACCUGCAGAAGAAGCGCCGGCUAACUACGUGCCAGCAGCCGCGGUAACACGUAGGGCGCAAGCGUUGUCCGGAAUCAUUGGGCGUAAAGAGCUCGUAGGCGGUCUGUUGCGUCCGCUGUGAAAACUCGGGGCUUAACCCCGAGCUUGCAGUGGAUACGGGCAGACUAGAGGUAGGUAGGGGAGAAUGGAAUUCCCGGUGUAGCGGUGAAAUGCGCAGAUAUCGGGAGGAACACCGGUGGCGAAGGCGGUUCUCUGGACCUUACCUGACGCUGAGGAGCGAAAGCGUGGGGAGCGAACAGGAUUAGAUACCCUGGUAGUCCACGCCGUAAACGUUGGGCGCUAGGUGUGGGGUCCUUCCACGGACUCCGUGCCGCAGCUAACGCAUUAAGCGCCCCGCCUGGGGAGUACGGCCGCAAGGCUAAAACUCAAAGGAAUUGACG
rnacentral:rRNA from 1 species